rnacentral:rRNA from 1 species
UACGUAGGCAGCAAGCGUUGUUCGGUAUUAUUGGGCGUAAAGAGUGUGUAGGCGGUGCUCCAAGUCUGUUGUGAAAUCUCCCGGCUUAACUGGGAGGGUGCGGCGGAAACUGGAAUGCUAGAGGGUGGGAGAGGUAAGCGGAAUUCCUGGUGUAGCGGUGAAAUGCGUAGAUAUCAGGAGGAACACCUGUGGUGUAGACAGCUUACUGGACCACUUCUGACGCUGAGACACGAAAGCGUGGGUAGCAAACAGG